GAUGAACGCUGGCGGCAGGCCUAACACAUGCAAGUCGAACGAAGUCAUCGGACCUAGUGGCGGACGGGUGAGUAACACGUGGGAACGCAUCUUUUGGUUCGGAACAACUCAGGGCAACUUGAGCUAUUACCGGAUGUGCCCUUAGGGGGAAAGAUUGUUCCCCGAAAGGGCGGCCCGCGUUGGAUUAGCCAGUUGGUGAGGUAAAGGCUUACCAAGGCUACGAUCUAUAGCUGGGUUGAGGGGAUGAUCAGCCACACCGGGACGGAGAUACGGCCCAGACUCCUACGGGAGGGCGCAGUGGGACAUCGUGCGGAAUGCGCGAAAGCCUGACGCAGCCACGCCGCGUGAAUGAUGAAGGUAUUAGGAUUGUAAAAUUCUUUUACCAGGGACGAUAAUGACGGUACCUGGAGAAAAAGCCCCGGCUAACUUCGUGCCAGCCGCCGCGGUAA
rnacentral:rRNA from 1 species